rnacentral:rRNA from 1 species
AGCGAACGCUGGCGGCAGGCUUAACACAUGCAAGUCGAGCGGGCGUAGCAAUACGUCAGCGGCAGACGGGUGAGUAACGCGUGGGAACGUACCUUUUGGUUCGGAACAACACAGGGAAACUUGUGCUAAUACCGGAUAAGCCCUUACGGGGAAAGAUUUAUCGCCGAAAGAUCGGCCCGCGUCUGAUUAGCUAGUUGGUGAGGUAACGGCUCACCAAGGCGACGAUCAGUAGCUGGUCUGAGAGGAUGAUCAGCCACAUUGGGACUGAGACACGGCCCAAACUCCUACGGGAGGCAGCAGUGGGGAAUAUUGGACAAUGGGCGCAAGCCUGAGCCAGCCAUGCCGCGUGAGUGAUGAAGGCCCUAGGGUUGUAAAGCUCUUUUGUGCGGGAAGAUAAUGACGGUACCGCAAGAAUAAGCCCCGGCUAACUUCGUGCCAGCAGCCGCGGUAAGAC